UACGUAGGGUGCGAGCGUUAAUCGGAAUUACUGGGCGUAAAGUGUGCGCAGGCGGCCGCGCAAGUCGAGUGUGAAAUCCCCGAGCUUAACUUGGGAAUUGCGCUCGAAACUACGUGGCUGGAGUGUGGCAGAGGAAGGUGGAAUUCCACGUGUAGCGGUGAAAUGCGUAGAGAUGUGGAGGAAUACCGGUGGCGAAGGCGGCAUCCUGGACCGGCAUUGACGCUGAUGAGCGAAAGCCAGGGGAGCAAACGGG
rnacentral:rRNA from 1 species